rnacentral:lncRNA from 1 species
AAGGCUGGUGGGGGCGGUGUUGCUCGGGGCUGCGAUGCCCCUUAGGUUGCGGGCAACCAGAGGCCUCACUCGUGGGCAGGAAGCAAGGGCGGACCCCGAGAGAUGACUGAUUGUGGGGGUGGGGACCGUCUGCUCCUCCUAAUGGCUGGGGACCGUGCACGUCUGCGCGGGCCGGACCUGCUCUUCUCGGGAACUUGCGCGGGAGGAGGCCCGGAGCUGCGCCGCUUUACCCUCUGCUCCCCGGUGCCUAAAACGCACACGCAUCAAAGUCACAGGACGAGUUAGAGAGGGCUCAGGAAGGUCACCGGAUGCCAGUGCCAGUUGGUGUCCAGGUUCUUGAAGCCAUCACAGGAAAGAAUUCAGGGAUAAGUCAGAGUAAGCAGAAAGGAAUAUACAAUAGAGUUUUCCAGAGGCUGCUGGAUGAGUCAUAUUGUAACAGAUGCAAUGGGAACAUGGAGCUAUGGGAACUCAACUGCCUUAAGUGAAGCCAGACAUUAAGGAGAUUUGAAAAAAUAUAAUACUAUUGAAGAGACUAUCAGAAAGCAGACAGGAAGCUCCACAGACAGGCGGGGCUGCUUUAACAGUACGCUUUGCUCGAGGGUGAAGAGGGCGAGAACCAGCUAUCAGGAGAAAGGCAGAGGGAGAUUUGAAACACAGAGGAGGUGAUGAGAAGACACAGCAGAAGAUAUCUGAAGACUGGAAAGAAUGCUGCAACCAACAGGAGAAGGAAAAGACAGAAAUGUGUUUUCCAUUUGGAGCAUCCAGAGGGAGCACAACCAUAUCAACACCUUGAUUUUGAUCCAGUGACAUUGAUUUUGGACUUGUGGCCUCCAGAACUUUUAGAGAAUAAAUUUGCAUUGUUUUAAGCCAACAGGUUGGUGGAAAUUUUUUACAGCAGCCACAGGAAGCAAACACAGACUCCUAACUGGUGCUUAGUCCUAGAAUAUCAGUUUCUGUUCCACUUCUGGAUCUCAUAAUUGCAUCUCAGACAUCAACACUGACUUCAUAUUCUUAAUGCACCAAUUCUACCAUUUCUUCAGGCUGCAAACAGAGAAAAACUUAUUUAAGCAUUCCAGAAUUGACCCAAUAGAAGACUCUCCAGAAAAGACUGCAUGGUCUCUGAAGCAGCAUGAUCAGCAUGACUGGCUGCAUCUGGGCUCCACCGUUUGCCACUUCAGACAGGUCCUUAGCCUCUUAGAGGUUCAUUUUCCUUGCUGUAGCCCGGAGUAAGAAUGUUUAGCCUACAAGAUUUAUUUUGAGGCAUCAAUGAAUCACUAUGUGAGCCUCACACAGUGUCUGGCACUGAUAUUACAAAAUAUGGUUGAUCUUGCCAUCCUUGUUAUUGUCCUGGUGGGGAUUCCUCUCUGUUGAAGAUACGGAGCCUCUAAAAAUGAGUGGCAGAGGCUCCCAGCUCAGGAUCCUUGUCCAGGUCCUAAAGAUCCUCCACUCUGCUUGUCACUCUGUUCAUUAUGUUUGCAUGGCCACCACGGUCAACACUACUGCGGCCUACCUCAAGUUCUCAUGCCUCACUCUCUGAGCUCAUGAGGACACAAGGAUCCUUUGGCAACACAUUAACUACACUCUGUGGCCAUCCCUUGACUUCUGAGAGGAUGUUUCCCUCCUCUCAAUCAAAAGCUCUCUUCCCUCCUGGGCAAGAUCCUUGCAUGCACCCAGCACCCUCACACCUGGUGCCCUCACACCCAGCACUCUCACACGUGGUGCCCUCACACCCAGCACCCUCACACCCAGCACCCUCACACCUGGUGCCCUCACACCCAGCACCCUCACACCUGGUGCCCUCACACCCAGCACCCUCACACCUGGUGCCCUCGCACCCAGCACCCUCACACCUGGUGCCCUCGCACCCAGCACCCUCACACCUGGUGCCCUCGCAACCUGCACCUUCAGAGGAAGAAAUAACAGAGGCUGCAGGCGAGAGAGUUACAAGGAAGGAGGAGCAGGAAGACACGAGAAAAAUUCAGAUAAACUCAACAUCUCCAGCCUGGGGGAAACGUGAGAGGGUGGUAUGAAGAUACACACGAUGCAUGUUGCUUAGUGAAAGCAGCCAGUCGGAAAAGGCUACGUAGUGAAUGACCCCAACUAUGACAUUCUGAAAAAGGCAAAACUAUGGAGACAGGAUAAAGAUCAGUGGUUGCCAGUGAGGCAGGAGAAUAGGGUCUGGGGGCAGGGAGCCUAAGGCUGAUUCAUGCUGACUUCAUGAACGGAAUCAAAAGGAAAACCCUAAAUUUCCAUGCCCACGUAACAAAAGGAUCAGAGGCUACUCCCUUUGCAACUCCCCCCAACUUUCUGUGUUGCAGAUGAAAAAUGGAAAGUGCCUCGGAUUGGUCCCCUCCUGCAACCAGUCAGACAUCUGCAUAGAGCGUAACUUUGUAACUUCACUUCAGCCUCUGCUUGGUCACCUUCCACAACCAAUCAGACUGGUCAUGGGCCACUAUUUCAUAGGGUGUAAACCAAGUGACCAAUGGGAAACAUCUAGAGGGUAUUUAAACCCCAGAAAAUUCUGCGACCAGUGCUUUUGAGCCUUGCUUGGGCCUGCUCCCACUCUGUGAAGUGCAUUUUUGUUUCAAUACAGCUAUGCUUUUGUUGCUU